rnacentral:tRNA from 1 species
GUAUAUAUAGCUCAGUGGCAGAGUGCAUGCUUAGCAUGCAUGAGGGCCUGGGUUCAAUUCUCAGUACCUUCA